CGAUGCAGGUGCCUCUUUCCAUGAAGAGCCGAACAGAAAAACCGGUGAAAACCCGGUACGGUCCCGCCGCUGUGAAGGGGAGCUGCUCCGCAUAAGAUCCACUGGGAUACGCCUGGGAAGGAGCGGAGACGGCAAUGAACCGGAGUCAGAAGAACUGCCUGCAUU
rnacentral:ncRNA from 1 species